AGGACGAACGCUGGCGGCGUGCUUAACACAUGCAAGUCGAGCGGAAAGGCCCUUCGGGGUACUCGAGCGGCGAACGGGUGAGUAACACGUGAGCAACCUGCCCCUGGCUCUGGGAUAGCCUCCGGAAACGGGGAUUAAUACCGGACAUUCACUUCCUUCCGCAUGGUUGGUGGUGGAAAGUUUUUUCGGCCGGGAGGGGCUCGCGGCCUAUCAGCUUGUUGGCGGGGUAACGGCCCACCAAGGCGACGACGGGUAGCC
rnacentral:rRNA from 1 species